GUCGGCAGUAGUGAUGGUGAGGAGGGAGCGAGUUGGGAGGAGUGGUGACCUUGGACUCGGGAGCAGGGACCAGGGACGAGAUGCCAGCCAGCAGUCGUGAGGAUUGAGUCAACUACCUGGUCAUCAUCUGUGUUUUGUCAACUACAAAUAUAAGCUGCCGGAGACUACCCCAGGCUGAUAUAGCCUGCCAGAGACUACCCCAGAC